ACUGGCACAGUGCCAUGUGCCUGUAGUCCCAGCUACUCAGGAGGCGGAGGUGGGAGGAUUGCUGGGGCCCAGGAGUUCUGGGCUGUAGUGUGCUAUGCUGAUUGCUUAGUGCAGACAGUAAGUUCAGCAUCAAUAUGGUGACCUUCUGGGAGUGGGGGACCAGCAGGUUGCCUCAGGAGGGGUGAACCGGCCCAGGUCGGAAACUCCCAUUCUGAUCAGUAGUAGGAUCGUGCCUAUGAAUAGCCACUGCACUCCAGCCUGGGCAACAUAGCGAGACCCCCGUCCC
rnacentral:SRP_RNA from 1 species